rnacentral:rRNA from 1 species
CCUACGGGGGGCAGCAGUGAGGAAUAUUGGUCAAUGGGCGGAAGCCUGAACCAGCCAAGUCGCGUGAGGGAAGAAGGCCCUGCGGGUCGCAGACCUCUUUGGACGGGGAGCAAGGCCGCCGACGUGUCGGCGGAAGGAGAGUACCCGUAGAACAAGCAUCGGCUAACUCCGUGCCAGCAGCCGCGGUAAUACGGAGGAUGCGAGCGUUAUCCGGAUUUAUUGGGUUUAAAGGGUGCGCAGGCGGCACGGCAAGCCGGCGGUCAAAUCGCGGGGCUCAACCCCGCCCAGCCGUCGGAACUGCCGGG